rnacentral:rRNA from 1 species
AGGACGAACGCUGGCGGCGUGCCUAACACAUGCAAGUCGGGCGGAGAUAGACUGAUGGUAACUGAAGCUUAUCUUAGCGGCGGACGGGUGAGUAACACGUGGGCAACCUGCCUUGGAGUGGGGGAUAACACCGGGAAAUCGGUGCUAAUACCGCAUAACAUACACAAACUGCAUGGUAAGUGUAUCAAAGGAGUAAUCCGCUUUAAGAUGGGCCCGCGGCUGAUUAGCUAGUUGGUAAGGUAACGGCUUACCAAGGCGACGAUCAGUAGCCGACCUGAGAGGGUGACCGGCCACACUGGAACUGAGACACGGUCCAGACUCCUACGGGAGGCAGCAGUGGGGAAUAUUGCGCAAUGGGGGGAACCCUGACGCAGCAACGCCGCGUGGAGGAAGAAGGUCUUCGGAUUGUAAACUCCUGUCUUCUGGGACGAAGUAUGACGGUACCAGAGGAGGAAGCCACGGCUAACUACGUG